rnacentral:sRNA from 1 species
CACCGCACGUCGCGUGGUGUC